rnacentral:rRNA from 1 species
AUUGAACGCUGGCGGCAUGCCUUACACAUGCAAGUCGAACGGCAGCACGGGUGCUUGCACCUGGUGGCGAGUGGCGAACGGGUGAGUAAUAUAUCGGAACGUACCUUAUUGUGGGGGAUAACGCAGCGAAAGCUGUGCUAAUACCGCAUACGAUCUACGGAUGAAAGCAGGGGACCGCAAGGCCUUGCGCUCAUGGAGCGGCCGAUGGCAGAUUAGGUAGUUGGUGGGAUAAAAGCUUACCAAGCCGACGAUCUGUAGCUGGUCUGAGAGGACGACCAGCCACACUGGGACUGAGACACGGCCCAGACUCCUACGGGAGGCAGCAGUGGGGAAUUUUGGACAAUGGGCGAAAGCCUGAUCCAGCCAUGCCGCGUGCAGGAUGAAGGCCUUCGGGUUGUAAACUGCUUUUGUACGGAACGAAAAGACUCUGGUUAAUACCUGGGGUCCAUGACGGUACCGUAAGAAUAAGCACCGGCUAACUACGUG